rnacentral:tRNA from 2 species
UGUGUUGUGGCUCAGCAGUAGAGCACUUGCCUAGCAAGUGAAGUCCUGGGUUCAAUCCUCAGCACCACAU